rnacentral:sRNA from 1 species
GUCCCGCCAUGGCUCUGAGGCGCGCCCUGCCCGCGCUGCGCCCCUGCAUUCCCCGCUUCGUCCCGCUGUCCACGGCGCCGGCCUCCCGCGAGCAGCCCGCAGCGGGCCCAGCGGCCGUGCCAGGAGGUGGGUCGGCCAGGGCAGUGCGGCCGCCGGUGCCCGCCGUGGACUUUGGCAACGCGCAGGAGGCGUACCGCAGCCGGCGAACCUGGGAGCUGGCGCGCAGCCUGCUGGUGCUGCGCUUGUGCGCCUGGCCCGCGCUGCUGGCGCGCCACGAGCAGCUGCUGUAUGUUUCCAGGAAACUUCUAGGACAGAGGCUAUUCAACAAGCUCAUGAAGAUGACCUUCUAUGGGCAUUUUGUAGCCGGGGAGGACCAGGAGUCCAUCCAGCCCCUGCUUCGGCACUACAGGGCCUUCGGUGUCAGCGCCAUCCUGGACUAUGGAGUGGAGGAGGACCUGAGCCCCGAGGAGGCAGAGCACAAGGAGAUGGAGUCCUGCACCUCAGCUGCGGAGAGGGAUGGCAGUGGCACGAGUAAGCGGGACAAGCAAUACCAGGCCCACCGGGCCUUCGGGGACCGCAGGAAUGGUGUCAUCAGUGCCCGCACCUACUUCUACGCCAAUGAGGCCAAGUGCGACAGCCACAUGGAGACAUUCUUGCGCUGCAUCGAAGCCUCAGGUAGAGUCAGCGAUGACGGCUUCAUAGCCAUUAAGCUCACGGCACUGGGGAGACCCCAGUUUCUGCUGCAGUUCUCAGAGGUGCUGGCCAAGUGGAGGUGCUUCUUUCACCAAAUGGCUGUGGAGCAAGGGCAGGCGGGCCUGGCUGCCAUGGACACCAAGCUGGAGGUGGCGGUGCUGCAGGAAAGUGUCGCAAAGAUGGGCAUCGCAUCCAGGGCUGAGAUUGAGGACUGGUUCACGGCAGAGACCCUGGGAGUGUCUGGGUGAGAGCAGCCCCCAGGCUGAGAGGACACGAGCAUCAGCCAUGGUUCCAGCCAAGCCCCAGUGACGUCUCCCAGUCCUGGCUGCCCUGCCUGAGAGGGUGGGCCCUGGGAUGACAGUGCUGAAGGAACUGCUUUUCACACAGCAGGACUUGAUGGCUUCAGGAGUCCCUGAGGCUGGGGCUGGGCUGGGCAGGGGAGACACAGGGCCAGCACAGACCCCAUAGAGGGCUCUUUAUAGAAUUAUCUGGGUCUAGAGCAAAGGUGGCACUCUCAGCCCUCCCUGGAGUCCACGCUGGCAGGUGAAGGAUCAGAGCCCCAUGCCCCAUCCUUGGAGCCAGGGGCUGGGACCCAGGUCACCAGGAGCCUCCAGUUGAAGUGGGGAGGUGACUGGGGUGGUGCAGUAGUGAGCCAUCCCCUCACACACUGUCAGCCUUGCCCACUGUGUCCUCCCUGGCCCCCCAGAGCUGUGUCCGCCUCCUGCCUGGCUGCCUGUGCUCGGCCCGUCCACAAGCCCAAAACAGCCCUAGGGUACUCAGUGUUUUCAGAGCCGCCUAGAUGCAGGACUGUUUGUGUUUUGGUUUUAAAUUUUUUAAAUUAAUUUAUUUUUUAUAGAGACCAGGUCUCACCAUGUUGCCCAGGCUGGCUUCAAACCCCUGGGCUCAAGUGGCCUGCCCGCUGUAGCCUCCCAAAGUGCUGGGAUUAUAAGUUUGAGCCACCACACGCCACUGGUUUUAAAUUUUUAAACAGAAAACAAUAUUUAUAUUUCCUCUAUCUUUUAAAACUGAACACCGAGGUGGGUUUUGUGGUGGGUGGUGAACGGACAGGUUUGGGCCUCGAUCCCCCACCCGACCCUAGCACCCAGAGGUGGGGGUGCCCCCUCUGCUGAUGCGCCUCCUCCCUCAGCACCGUGGACCUGCUGGACUGGAGCAGCCUCAUCGACAGCAGGACCAAGCUGUCCAAGCACCUGGUAGUCCCCAACGCACAGACAGGACAGCUGGAGCCCCUGCUGUCCCGGUUCACUGAGGAGGAGGAGCUACAGAUGACGAGGAUGCUACAGCGGAUGGAUGUCCUGGCCAAGAAAGCCACAGAGAUGGGCGUGCGGCUGAUGGUGGAUGCCGAGCAGACCUACUUCCAGCCGGCCAUCAGCCGCCUGACGCUGGAGAUGCAGCGGAAGUUCAAUGUGGAGAAGCCGCUCAUCUUCAACACAUACCAGUGCUACCUCAAGGAUGCCUAUGACAAUGUGACCCUGGACGUGGAGCUGGCUCGCCGUGAGGGCUGGUGUUUUGGGGCCAAGCUGGUGCGGGGCGCAUACCUGGCCCAGGAGCGAGCCCGUGCGGCAGAGAUUGGCUAUGAGGACCCCAUCAACCCCACGUACGAGGCCACCAACGCCAUGUACCACAGGUGCCUGGACUACGUGCUGGAGGAGCUGAAGCACAACGCCAAGGCCAAGGUGAUGGUGGCCUCCCACAAUGAGGACACAGUGCGCUUCGCACUGCGCAGGAUGGAGGAGCUGGGCCUGCAUCCUGCUGACCACCAGGUGUACUUUGGACAGCUGCUAGGCAUGUGUGACCAGAUCAGCUUCCCGCUGGGUGAGUGGGGCCCUCCCUGGUGCGAUGGGGUACGGUGCUGGGCCUGGGCCUCAUGGUGUAUCUGCCCCCAUGCAGGCCAGGCCGGCUACCCCGUGUACAAGUACGUGCCCUAUGGCCCCGUGAUGGAGGUGCUGCCCUACUUGUCCCGCCGUGCCCUGGAGAACAGCAGCCUCAUGAAGGGCACCCAUCGGGAGCGGCAGCUGCUGUGGCUGGAGCUCUUGAGGCGGCUCCGAACUGGCAGCCUCUUCCAUCGCCCUGCCUAGCACCCGCCAGCCCACCCUCAGCCUCCAGCACCCCCGGCCCCCACCCAGGCCAUCACCACAACUGCAGCCAACCCCAUCCUCACACAGAUUCACCUUUUUUCACCCCACACUUGCAGAGCUGCUGGAGGUGGAGUCAGGUGCCUCCCAGCCCUGCCAAUGGUGGGGGCACUCAGGUGUGGGCUGACCCUGAUACCUGCCUGGGAUAGCCGCUGGUAACUGUUAGGAACUUUCCUCGGAUGUGUGGGCCCAAGGCCCCCACCUCUGUGACCCCCAUGUCCUUGGACCUAGAGGAUUGUCCACCUUCUGCCAAGGCCAGCCCACACAGCCCGAGCCCCUCGGGGAGCAGUGGCCGGGCUGGGGAGGCCUGCCUGGUCAAUAAACCACUGUUCCUGCA